rnacentral:rRNA from 1 species
AGCGGCAGCGNNUUAACUGAACCUUCGGGGAANGUUAAGGGCGGCGAGCGGCGGANGGGUGAGUAAUGCCUGGGAAUAUGCCCUGAUGUGGGGGAUAACUAUUGGAAACGAUAGCUAAUACCGCANAAUCUCUUNNNNNNANNNANGGGGACCUUCGGGCCUCUCGCGUCAGGAUUAGCCCAGGUGGGAUUAGCUUGUUGGUGAGGUAAUGGCUCACCAAGGCAACGAUCCCUAGCUGGUCUGAGAGGAUGAUCAGCCACACUGGAACUGAGACACGGUCCAGACUCCUACGGGAGGCAGCAGUGGGGAAUAUUGCACAAUGGGGGAAACCCUGAUGCAGCCAUGCCGCGUGUGUGAAGAAGGCCUUCGGGUUGUAAAGCACUUUCAGUAGGGAGGAAGGUAGUGUAGUUAACACCUGCNNUAUUUGACGUUACCUACAGAAGAAGCACCGGCUAACUCCGUGCCAGCANCCNCGGUAAUACGGAGGGUGCGAGCGUUAAUCGGAAUUACUGGGCGUAAAGCGCAUGCAGGCGGCCUGUUAAGUCANAUGUGAAAGCCCGGGGCUUAACCUCGGNAUUGCAUUUGAAACUGGC